rnacentral:rRNA from 1 species
AGAUUAGCCAUGCAUGUCUAGUUACAAGCCGCGUACGCGGCGAGACUGCGGACGGCUCAUUAAAUCGGUUAUGAAUCCACUGGGGACAGACCUACCCGGUGGAUAACGUGCGGUAACUCCGGUGCUAAUACAUGCAACAAGGCUCCGACCCCGUCUCCGGGCGGGGGAAGGGCGCACUUAUUAGGCGAAAACCAAUCGCUCGCUCGCGGGCGUUGGUGGACGACACCCGAGUAAUUGCCGCCGAUCGCACGGCCUCCGAGCCGGCGACACCUUCACUGAGUUUCUGAUCUAUCAUGCUGUCGACGGUUGGUGCCAUGCCAACCGUGGCGUUAACGGAUAACAGAGAAUCUGGGUUCGAUUCUGGAGAGGCCGCAUGAGAAACGGCGACCACUUCUAAGGAAGGCAGCAGGCACGCAAAUUACCCACUUCGGACACCGAGAGGUAGUGACGAACAAUACCGAUGCGGCGCACAUUCGUGUCGCCGUAAUCGGAAUGAGUACACUUCAAAUCCUUUAACGAGGAUCCACUGGAGGGCAAGCCUGGUGCCAGCAGCCGCGGUAAUUCCAGCUCCAGCAGCGUAUAUUUAUAUUGCUGCGUUUAAAAAGCUCGUAGUUGAAGCGUCAGACGCGGGAGGGCGGACGGCCGCACUGGUCGCUCUCGCCCGACCGAGCCAGGCGCAGAGGGCGCACGUCGCUUGCACUUCGCCGUGUGAGCGCGUCGYUACUGCACGUUCACCUUGAAGAAAUUGAACCGCUUAGAGGGGGCGAGCAGCUUGUACAGCUCAGCAUGGUAUGAUGGAAGAACGGGCUCGUACUCAUUUUGUUGGUUAGACGAUGUACGGCGANGCCAGAUGAUUAAGCAGGGACUGCAAGCUGAAACUUAAAGGAAUUGACGGAAGGGCACCACCAGGAGUGGAGCCUGCGGCUUAAUUUGACUCAACACGGGAAACCUCACCCGGCCCGAACACUGUUAUGACAGACAGGUUGAGAGCUCUUUCUCGAUUCAGUGGUUGGUGGUGCAUGGCCGUUCUUAGUUCGUGGAGCGAUCUGUCUGGUUAAUUCCGAUAACGAACGAGACUCUUGCCUGCUAAAUAGACGGCGUCGACUUGAGCCGGCGACCGUUCGCUUCUUAGAGGGACAAGCGGCUUUUAGCCGCGUGAAGCCGAGAGCAAUAACAGGUCAGUGAUGCCCUCAGAUGUUCGGGGCCGCACGCGCGCUACACUGUUUGCAUCAGCGUGUUUCUCCCGCGCCGGCUGGCGCGGGCAACCCGUUGAACCGCAAACGUGCUAGGGAUCGGAGAUUGCAAUUGUUCUCCGUGAACGAGGAAUUCCUUGUACUGGCGAGUCAUCAGCUCGCGGGGAAUCUGUCCCUGCCCUUUGUACACACCGCCCGUCGCUACUACCGAUUGAGUGGUUUAGUGAGGCUCACGGACUGCGCGCGGCACACGACGCUUUCGGGCGGCGCGUCGCGAGGCGGAAAGUGAGACGAACUUGAUCACUUCUAGGAAGUAAAAGUCGUAACAAGGUUUUCGUAGGUGAACCUGGGGAAAGGAU